UCAUGAUUUGAAUGGUACACCUGUGAUCACAGCAUAUCAAAAGGGUGUGGAGGAUGGAAAUGUGAUUGCCUGCCCCAGCUCUGCCAAGGCUCACUGACCAGGCUGAUGGUUGUUCAGAAGGCUCCAGAGCAUCAUCUAACCAGAUGAUCUAACCAGAACAAAAGGGAAGCAUCCUAAGGGACGUACAGUACCACUGUGAGAUCAGGCCACUCUCUCAGCCAAGGUUCUGGAUGAGUGUUUUGAAAAAUAACACUCCUUUUCCUAAAACAAUGGAUCCUGAGGAAAAUUGUGCAAUACAUCAAUCCUGCGGAGAUUUGUGGUUUGAGAAGAAGGUUAGAGAGAGGGAACAAACAGAAGAGAAGGACUCUAAAUUGGCAAUAAACUUUAUUAAAUCCCUGUAGUUCUUGCAGUUUGAAAUCUGCUAAGUGUAUUAUAUGUCAUUUAGCCACAUAUGCGUUGUUAGAGUGAGCUCAGGGAGCAAUAGCUAUACCAUGAAAGUUAUGGUAGUUAUUCUGCUCUGAAAUACU